AAGAAAGAAAAAUGGGCGCGAAUCUAGGAGAGGCAGGCAGGCAAGCCGGUGGACCGAAGUUUGAACGAAAGCGCCUUUUCGAAAAUCGAUAGAGAGAAGUUCGUGAGCCGUCGACUACGCUCGUGAAAGUUCGCACGGCCACUAAUCAAUCCGCGGGAGGUUUCGUGUUUAUCAACAAGUGCCGCAUACACCUGGCCUUGUUCGCGUCAGCUUCCGUGACGACGGGCUUCGUUCGUGGAUCGUCACCACGUCGUCUGGUGACCAACCCCUUUCGUCAUCAAUCCUCGUUUCGAAUCGUGUGUCGAAGGAUGACGAGGUUAAACCGCGGAACCGUGUCCUCGCGCAGCCAUCGCUUCGCUCCGUGACAAAUCGUGCGUGCUGUUCCCAUUGUUCUCGUCGAAGGUUAUCCGCCUCCUCUUCUCCUCCUCCUCCACCACUGAUAUUUCCGCCUUUUCGCCUCUCCCCAUCCCCCUCCUCUCUUCGCUUUUCUCCAUUUUCUCGUUCCCGCGAGUUCAUUGGAAUUAUUCGACUAUUAAUAACGCCGGGAUCGUUGUGUCGUUGCACGAUGGUGAUUCUUCACCGAGCCUUGUUUUUCGCCAGAUUUUCCUGAAGCUGGAGGACUGAACUGUGAGAGAAAGAGAGAAAAUAAAAAAAUCUCUUUCCCAAUCGAGCGAGUUAAACAUGGUCAGUGAAUUUUUUAUUCUCAAUUUCUCUGGAAUGGAUUAUUAAAAAUGUGUGAAAGUGAAAUGAAACGAAUCUCAAACAACACGAGCGAUGAACGAGAUAAAAACAAGAUAUAAUAUAUUCGCGUGAAAAUUAAUUAAAUUAAAAAUUAAUUUAACGUUUAACGAGCGCUUAUGUAAACGAGGCGUCGAUACGAGGUGUUUUCUCUUAUUAUAACGUGACGCGCGCGUUUUUCUUCGAGGUUUCGCGAUGCAUCGAUUAAUGAUCGAGGGAUGCGAUCGAGGAGGGUGGCAUGGAAAAUGUGGGAAAAGGGGGACGGUUUUCGGGAAGCGGCCGUCACUAUAAAUAGAGGCGCCUCAUGCGUGCGUGCUAUGCUUUUAAACAUAGUUUUGGCAGCGCGAAACGUCAAACCGCCUCGGAGUGGCAAAGCGCGUGGAUCGUUUCGCGUGGAAAUUCAAGCAUUGGCCGGACAUUCUUCCAUCUCUUCUCUGCGAUAUUUCUCCCGAUCCAAAUACCGUGACAUCGAGACAUCUCACGAAGUAUCCAGGAAUAAGAUGUGACACCGUGUGUGUGAUCGCAAUAAAAAGAAAAAAAAAAAAAAAAGAAUUAUCCGUGCCUUUGUCCAUUCGUCACGAGAGCAAAGAAAUAAGAAGUCUGUCGACAACGUGGAAUCGAAUGAAACGUGUUCAAAUUUCGAUUUGAAGAGACGUUUCGA